CCAGUGCUAGCUAGCUAGCAGAGCAGGGCGGGCUGCUCGCUCCAUCCUUGAGCUGUGCCGGCUCGAUCUGUGUUUGCGCCAGCCAGCCAGCUAGCUGCAGCCUCCGGCCGGUUAAUCGUGUUCCUUCCUUCAUUCCUUCCUUCCGGCCGGCCGGUGGUUAAUUAACGCGCGCGCGGAUAUAUAUACUCGAUCAUGGCUGGUAACAUGGACGAAUCUUACUGGUCCAGAAACGUGUUUCAAGAGUUUGAGUUCUCCGUGGCGCGUCUCAACUUUCGAGGUCGUUUCCUUGGCAAUGGCUUCGUUGUUCACUGUGACGAGGAGGGGACUUGUCUUCUAAUGACAUGUCGACAUAUUUUCGAAGAUGUUCGUGACCCAUGGAGUGCAGCCGUGGAUGCCUAUUUCUCUCGUAGCAACGAUCCUUUUUUCCGAGCACGACUUCUUUAUCUUGAUGAAACCAGGGACCUCUCUUUUUGACUGAAUGGGGUAGUGCCUAUGGGCUGAUGGGGUAGUGCCUGCUGCACAAAUAUUACAUGUAAAACUUAUAUAAUUCUUAUCAAAAUAUUACAUGUAUCUA